UCUGGUAAUGAUGGCAGAGAGGUCACACCCGUUCCCAUACCGAACACGGAAGUUAAGCUCUCUAGCGCCGAUGGUAGUUGGGACCUUGUCCCUGUGAG
rnacentral:rRNA from 1 species